CCAGUAUGAUCUACCCUCACUAAGACAACACCAGGCACAGAAAUGGUUCCAGGGGGCUAGAGAUUGAGACGGUCACCAGCCACUGUGCUGUUCUCAGUACUUCGGGGCAGACAGAACAAAGGAGCUAAUAGGGGUCCCAGUGACCGUGAGGGAACGAAGUGACUGCUGCCCCGAGGAAAGAGAAGAAGGUCUCCCAUGCCCAGAGUCCCCGUGGGGGUGUUCCUAGCAUACUGCAUCCAGGAUAAAAGCCAAGAGAGGAUCACACAAACCGCAGGCAGGAGGUACCCCCCAAAAGGGAGAAAUUGCUGAGGAAUGGAGACUCCAGCAGUUGCGGUGCUCACUGGGGGCCCAGGAGCAUCGU
rnacentral:antisense_RNA from 1 species